GUACAGACAGUCACAUGGUUUCUGUGAAAAGCCAAGGAUGUGGUUGGGGUGAAACUGAAAGCACUGAAGCUCUCAGUAAAACAAGGCACAACCUGGGCAGAAGUCACACUGACAACCUGAAGCAGCCACUCAUCUGUCCGGGACACUGAAGGAAGGAGCUGGUAAUCAGUCACUGGUGAGCGGUGAGAUCGUGUGAUCGGAGCCACAGACACAACUCUAGUGAGAGGACGCCACCUGGAGUCUCCCGUGUGCAUGCGUCCCUUGCACAAGACAUCACAUAUGCUAAUUAUAUGUCAUACCUAACACUGCCCCUGGCCCUGGAUACCACAGCCAGGAGAAACCUCCUCCCUGUGUCCAGUCCAUCAAGCCUGGUAGAAUUUCACAAGUUUCUGCAAGAUCGCUCAGUCUUUUGAACAGCAAGAAUAGAGGGCAGAUUUACUCUAUUUCUCUUCAUGUGACAAACCCGUGUAAACCUGAAACUUGGACUCUGUAUCUCUCUCCAUAGAUGCUGCCUGAACCCCUGAGCACUUCCUGGAUUCUCUGAUUUUACCCCAGGAAACUGUCUGGAGAAUCAUCAAUGCACUCCCUCUAUUGAAAGUGCACAUUUCAUUAGGUAAGGACCAGGUUUGUACACAAUCCUUCAGAUAUGGUCUCAAAAAAGAUACAUAGCAGAAAGCAUUCUAUCCAGAUAGAUCACAACUUGGUUUGGAAACUUCUCUGCCCAAGACCAUAAGAUAUUGCAGAGGGUUGGGAAUAUUGUCCAAUCCAUCACACAGACCAGACAAACCAUCAUGGACUAUAUUAACACUUCUGCUGCCUCAGGAAAACAGCCAACAUAAUCAAAGACGACUCACACCAUGCUCUCUU